rnacentral:tRNA from 2 species
GUGGGUAUCGUUUAAUUAGGUAGGACACUGGUCUCCAAAACCAGGAAUAUAGGUUCGAUUCCUAUUACCCUCGCCA